GACGAACGCUGGCGGCGUGCUUAACACAUGCAAGUCGAACGGUAAGGCCCUUUCGGGGGUACACGAGUGGCGAACGGGUGAGUAACACGUGGGUAAUCUGCCCUGCACUCUGGGAUAAGCCUGGGAAACUGGGUCUAAUACCGGAUAUGAGCCUUCAUCGCAUGGUGGGGGUUGGAAAGUUUUUUCGGUGCAGGAUGUGCCCGCGGCCUAUCAGCUUGUUGGUGGGGUAAUGGCCUACCAAGGCGACGACGGGUAGCCGGCCUGAGAGGGUGAUCGGCCACACUGGGACUGAGACACGGCCCAGACUCCUACGGGAGGCAGCAGUGGGGAAUAUUGCACAAUGGGCGGAAGCCUGAUGCAGCGACGCCGCGUGGGGGAUGACGGUCUUCGGAUUGUAAACCCCUUUCAGUAGGGACGAAGCGCAAGUGACGGUACCUGCAGAAGAAGCACCGGCCAACUACGUG
rnacentral:rRNA from 1 species